GCGUGUCUGACUUCCGCGGUUCCGGCUUCAACGGAGGGGCGUGGGCACUGUGUGCUUAUGCCUAACAGAUCUCGGGAUCUCUGUCGCUGGUUCUUCCCAAAAACUCUUCUGAGGUCAGCCACACCCAGAGCAUUGCAUUAUCAGAGCAACCUUGGCUGAGGCCACUCUUGACUGUCACUUUGAGCAAGAUUAGGACAGUGACCCUAAGACUGAGGAAUGUUCAGCACGAGGAACGACCGAGCACACGGGAUCUGCUGAGCCACACUUGAGAUUGAACUUGUUUGAUGAGUUGGUAACUCUGUUUCAUACACUUCCCGGGAAGAAAAUGGUCUCAGGGUAGAAGGAGAUGAAGCAAGCCCCACCAUAUUCAGCAACUGUCAACUACGAUGAUAGGCAGAGCCAAAGAAAGGGGGCUUGUGAGAACUUUGGAUCUGUCUAAAAUAAGAAUCUAGAUGGCUAAUCUUAGUAAGAGAUGCUGACAGUCCCACGUGAAGAAAUGACUGGCUUCCUAGGGAAGAAAAUGGCUUCUGAUCUGUAAAAUUUGUACUGAAAAGAAAAUCUAAAAGGAUUUAGUACAUUCAACCUCUACAAAACACAAACGAGGAAAUAAUCUGAUAAAGACGUGGAGCACAUUUCAAUUUCUAAUUCUAAAUUUCCAUGUAUGUCUUGAAAGCUUUGAAAGUACAAGUUUAAGGCAUCAAAAUGACUAAUUAUAGACGAUAAUAACAUAGUCUGCAUCCCAGGAGGCAACUGGAGGCGUUUUAAUUGGAAAUAAGCAUUUGAGAUAAUGUUAAUAGCAGUGCAGAAAAAUGAAGUUAAAAAAAAAAAAAAGAUCAGUGUUCAGAAGCCUUCUGUCCUGCGGCGUCUUGUGUUAAUCAUCUCCUCCACAGAGAACGAGCAGAACCUUCCUGUAG
rnacentral:lncRNA from 1 species